rnacentral:rRNA from 1 species
CAGUAGCCGCGGUAAUACGUAGGUGGCAAGCGUUGUCCGGAAUUAUUGGGCGCAAAGGGCUCGCAGGCGGUUUCUUAAGUCUGAUGUGAAAGCCCUCGGCUCAACCGGGGAGGGUCAUUGGAAACUGGGAGACUUGAGUGCAGAAGAGGAGAGUGGAAUUCCACGUGUAGCGGUGAAAUGCGUAGAGAUGUGGAGGAACACCAGUGGCGAAGGCGACUCUCUGGUCUGUAACUGACGCUGAGGAGCGAAAGCGUGGGGAGCGAACAGGAUUAGAUACCCCUGUAGUCCCUGUCUCUUAUAC